AUUGAACGCUGGCGGCAUGCCUUACACAUGCAAGUCGAACGGUAACGGGUCCUUCGGGAUGCCGACGAGUGGCGAACGGGUGAGUAAUAUAUCGGAACGUGCCCAGUAGUGGGGGAUAACCGCUCGAAAGAGCAGCUAAUACCGCAUACGACCUGAGGGUGAAAGGGGGGGAUCGCAAGACCUCUCGCUAUUGGAGCGGCCGAUAUCAGAUUAGCUAGUUGGUGGGGUAAAGGCCUACCAAGGCAACGAUCUGCAGUUGGUCUGAGAGGACGACCAGCCACACUGGGACUGAGACACGGCCCAGACUCCUACGGGAGGCAGCAGUGGGGAAUUUUGGACAAUGGGCGCAAGCCUGAUCCAGCAAUGCCGCGUGCAGGAAGAAGGCCUUCGGGUUGUAAACUGCUUUUGUCAGGGAAGAAAUCUUCUGGGCUAAUACCCCGGGAGGAUGACGGUACCUGAAGAAUAAGCACCGGCUAACUACGUGCCAGCAGCCGCAGUAACAC
rnacentral:rRNA from 1 species